ACUCCUACGGGAGGCAGCAGUGGGAAUAUUGGACAAUGGGGAACCGUAGCAUCCAGCCAUGCCGCGUGUGUGAAGAAGGCCUUCGGGUUGUAAAGCACUUUCAGUGGGGAGGAAAGGAUUGUUGGUUAAUACCUAACAGCUGUGACGUUACCCACAGAAGAAGCACCGGCUAACUCCGUGCCAGCAGCCGCGGUAAUACGGAGGGUGCAAGCGUUAAUCGGAAUUACUGGGCGUAAAGCGUGCGCAGGCGGUCUGUUAAGCGAGAUGUGAAAG
rnacentral:rRNA from 1 species